rnacentral:rRNA from 1 species
GAUGAACGCUGGCGGCGUGCCUAAUACAUGCAAGUCGAGCGAACAGAUGAGGAGCUUGCUCCUCUGACGUUAGCGGCGGACGGGUGAGUAACACGUGGAUAACCUACCUAUAAGACUGGGAUAACUUCGGGAAACCGGAGCUAAUACCGGAUAAUAUAUUGAACCGCAUGGUUCAAUAGUGAAAGACGGUUUUGCUGUCACUUAUAGAUGGAUCCGCGCCGCAUUAGCUAGUUGGUAAGGUAACGGCUUACCAAGGCAACGAUGCGUAGCCGACCUGAGAGGGGGGUCCGCCAAACUGGGACUUAAGAACGGGCCAGACUCCUACGGGAGGCAGCAGUAGGGAAUCUUCCGCAAUGGGCGAAAGCCUGACGGAGCAACGCCGCGUGAGUGAUGAAGGUCUUCGGAUCGUAAAACUCUGUUAUUAGGGAAGAACAAAUGUGUAAGUAACUAUGCACGUCUUGACGGUACCUAAUCAGAAAGCCACGGCUAACUACGUG